UUGUUGCGACAUUUUUCUUCUGGAUCUACCCUUCAACCUAACAAACUCUUACUGUAAUUUUUUGUCAAAUAAAAAACAAAAUGUAGUUUAUUUAUAAACAGAAAAAAAACAUAGAAAAAAAGGUUUCUUGUUAAUGGAUUGAUCAAAAUCCAUGAAUCCAACUAUAAGAGAGUAAGUUUCAUAAGCUCAAAUCUAUCAAAAUUGCAAGAAUCCAACAAAAUAUAUUCAAUCAAAUCUUGCAAACUACAUAAUG
rnacentral:lncRNA from 1 species